GUGACCUCAAAUCAGGUAGGACUACCCGCUGAACUUAAGCAUAUCAAUAAGCGGAGGAAAAGAAACUAACAAGGAUUCCCCUAGUAACUGCGAGUGAAGCGGGAAAAGCUCAAAUUUAAAAUCUGGCGGUCUUUUGGCUGUCCGAGUUGUAAUCUAGAGAAGUGUUAUCCGCGCUGGACCGUGUACAAGUCUCCUGGAAUGGAGCAUCAUAGAGGGUGAGAAUCCCGUCUUUGACAUGGACUGCCAGGGCUUUUGUGAUGCGCUCUCAAAGAGUCGAGUUGUUUGGGAAUGCAGCUCAAAAUGGGUGGUAAAUUCCAUCUAAAGCUAAAUAUUGGCGAGAGACCGAUAGCGAACAAGUACCGUGAGGGAAAGAUGAAAAGAACUUUGGAAAGAGAGUUAAACAGUACGUGAAAUUGCUGAAAGGGAAACGCUUGAAGUCAGUCGCGUCGUCCAGGGAUCAACCUUGCUUUUGCUUGGUGCACUUUCUGGUCUGACGGGUCAGCAUCGAUUUUGACUAUUGGAAAAGGAUCAAGGGAAUGUGGCAUCUCUGGAUGUGUUAUAGCCCUUGGUCGCAUACAAUGGUUUGGGAUUGAGGAACUCAGCACGCCGCAAGGCCGGGUGUCAAAGCCACGUACGUGCUUAGGAUGC
rnacentral:rRNA from 1 species